AUGUGAAAGCAAUAAAAAUGGACGAAGAAAAUCAUUAUAGACGGGGGAAUAAAACUCGUUUGCGCUUGAGCACCUAUCGGAAAAAAAGAAAGUCUUUCCCUGUUAAAAAACAGGCAAGUGACCAUUUGAACUGUUUGAUAAGCACUUUUUGACAGUUAUAUUUUAGAAUCCGAUUUCAACAGCAGAGAAUUCUUCAACUUCAGAUCACAGCACUCAACGGUUCAGGAAUGAUGAACCUAAUUUUCCAACUUCACCUACUACUGCUUUGCCUUCUUGUUCUUAUGUUAUUCCUGAAAAUCAACCAACUGGUAGUGCAACAAUAACAAGCACAUUCAUGGAUUUCCCAAAUAGCCAAAUGUUGGAAGGUCGACGCAUUGUGGAUAUUAAAUCAUUUUUUGAAUCUAUUGUGCGUAUAGGAGCACACGGUCAACAAUUUGGCUGUUCGUUGAGCAACGUAGUGCUCCAAAAGGAAAAGAUGCAGGGUAUUCGUUCUUCCUUACACCUAAAAUGUAACAUGUGCAAUGAAACGUUCAAGCUUGAUACAUCGGAUGCCAGCGUCAACAGGGACGCGGUACUUGCCAUGAUGGCUAUCGGUUCAGGCUUUUCCCAUUUAGAACAAGUAACAUCAUCGUUGGAAAUACCAUGCAUGUCAUCACGCAUGUACACUGCGUUGCACGAUGAGGUGUCUGAAGCUUGGGAAGAAACAAGU